rnacentral:rRNA from 1 species
UACGGAGGGGACUAGCGUUGUUCGGAAUUACUGGGCGUAAAGCGCACGUAGGCGGAUUUGUAAGUCAGGGGUGAAAUCCCGGGGCUCAACCUCGGAACUGCCUUUGAUACUGCAAAUCUCGAGUCCGGAAGAGGUGAGUGGAAUUCCUAGUGUAGAGGUGAAAAUUCGUAGAUAUUAGGAAAGAACACCAGUGGCGAAGGCGGCUCACUGGUCCGGUACUGACGCUGAGGUGCGAAAAGCGUGGGGGAGCAAACAGGGAUUAAGAAA